rnacentral:misc_RNA from 1 species
GUAAAAAUUUCAGGUCAAUUGGACUUAUUUUGAGUGAGUUAUGGUCAUGCUAAUGACUACUGUUUAUAUGGUCAAAAAUUCUAGCCUGCACUUACCUAUUUCGGAUUUGGUCAAUUCUUAUGUCACUUUGUGGACAGAUUUUAGGUAGGCUUCCUUCAUGAAAGUUGGCACAGUUUGUGCCUAGUUUCACCUCUAAUUGGUCUCAUACCAAUUGAAGUCACACAUUUAAGGUUCUAAUCUAAAACAUACACUGCCCUGCUACACAUUCUUCAUCACUUACCAAUUACACAUUCAAUACUUACCAAGUUUACCUUUCAAGCCAAUUAUAAUUUGGUACCAUAACAUUAACACACUUUACAUCACAUUUUGGUCAUUUUGGGCAGCUUGUAACCACUCUCAACAUACACAUUAUAACUCAGAAUUUUCAAAGUCUAAUUACAACAAUUUAACCACAUGAACAUACCUCAUUUAUAUGUCUAAAUCCAAACAAUUAUACACAUACACAUGCUGCCACCAUAAGCACCAUAAUUCAACAAACCAUUCCAUGAAAAUACCCAUUUCUAACCACACUUAAAAGUUGCCGAAUUGCACAUCUCCUUCAAAUAGAUUCCAAGCUUCCAAAACCAAGUGC